rnacentral:lncRNA from 1 species
UUUAGUCCAAUCUGAAAUACAGAGAGGACAAUUGUCCUUUGAGUUUAAUAGAGCUGUCUCUCUUUGAUAUUCACAGGGCUGGAGCAGCUCUAUGCAUUUGUUCUUGUUUUUGUCUUGACUUAAGGCUGUUUGAGAGAUGCUCAUGUCAGAGAGAGAAGAGCCAUGGCUGAUGUCUGUUGGACUUGAUGGUUUUAGAGUUCUUUUCCAACCCAAAUGAUCCCAUGAUUCAACUGUAUUUAUUGCCAGCGUUAGACAAGGGGUAACAGAAUUAGGAUUUAAAAAGUAAUCAUAAGAUACCUGGGGAAGCAGCAAAGCUAUGGACAUGGGGGAACUCAUCUUCACACCCACCUAUAAAUUCCUGCUCAUGUUCUCAGGUCGUGUACCUGCUGGGAAGUGGGAAAGUGAAGGUGCCUCUAGCAAUGGUAGGACAGAGCAGUGAGGUUUGGGACUUCUCCCCUCUGCAGGGCUUAGCAGCACGAUCACAGGGAACCUGUGAGACUGGCUUGCAAAUGCCCCAGCUGUCCUCCAUCUCUCACACCUGCACACAUUUAUCCCAUAAUUCUUCACUUCGUUUGCUGCUGCUGCUGCCGGUGGUGGGAGAGAAAUUCCGACCAGCAUCUCUGGGGUCGUCCUUUAUCGUCAGAGGAAAACGGUUCGACAAAGAUAAGCAGGAAAAUAACUUCUCGAAUUCAUCUCAUCUAAAUUGUGCUUGAACUGCAUGCAACUUACUGGGAUGCAUCUCACAGUGCUUUGUCUGUGAUAUCAAGCUCUACCAUGCUUUCAUGGGCUGGAUCUCCUCUGAAGCACUCUGGGAUCACAGUGACCUCCUUUGUGGCUUCAUUAUAGGGGUUCUGUUGCCAUAAGGUCCACAUCUUUCUCCUCAAAUACUCCCAAGUACAAGAAUCCAGCUUAAAAAUAUCAUUUUUUAAAAUCCUAGAAUAGUUUUUUAAAUACCAGUUUUGUUGAUCGUGUAAUCAGUGUCGUCCAGACCUGCAUGAUAUUCUUAUAGGAUCUGCACCUUCUGCUGCAUUCAGGAGGAUGACUGUCCUACAACAUUAGAAUAUUGAGAUUUUUUUAGUUAAUAUUUUUCCCUAUCGUUGUUUCAGCUGUGGUUGUUUCUUUGCACCUCCUCUGCCCCAUCCUUCCUGCAUGAUCAAAUCCAUGUUUACAGUAUGCUCUUGUCUUAGGUGUCCAAAUCUACUAAGCAGCUCUAAUUAAUACAAAUAAUAAAGGUUUUAUUAGCAACA